rnacentral:rRNA from 1 species
UGGGGAAUUGUUCGCAAUGGGCGAACGCCUGCCGACGCAACGCCGCGUGGAGGACGAAGAUUUUCGGAUCGUAAACUCCUUUCGAUCGGGACGAACGACUGGUGGCCCAAUACGCCAUCAGAGUGACGGUACCGAGAGAAGAAGCCCCGGCUAACUCCGUGCCAGCAGCCGCGGUAAUACGGGGGGGGCAAGCGUUGUUCGGAAUUACUGGGCGUAAAGGGCGCGUAGGCGGCCUGCUAAGUCACGCGUGAAAUCCCUCGGCUCAACCGGGGAACUGCGUGUGAUACUGGCGGGCUUGAAUUCGGGAGAGGGAUGUGGAAUUCCAGGUGUAGCGGUGAAAUGCGUAGAUAUCUGGAGGAACGCCGGUGGCGAAGGCGGCAUCCUGGACCGAGAUGGACGCUGAGGCGCGAAAGCUAGGGUAGCAAACGGG